rnacentral:rRNA from 1 species
UUGAACGCUGGCGGCAGGCCUAACACAUGCAAGUCGAGCGGUAGCACAGAGAGCUUGCUCUCGAGUGACGAGCGGCGGACGGGUGAGUAAUGUCUGGGAAACUGCCUGAUGGAGGGGGAUAACUACUGGAAACGGUAGCUAAUACCGCAUAAUGUCGCAAGACCAAAGUGGGGGACCUUCGGGCCUCAUGCCAUCAGAUGUGCCCAGAUGGGAUUAGCUAGUAGGUGGGGUAACGGCUCACCUAGGCGACGAUCCCUAGCUGGUCUGAGAGGAUGACCAGCCACACUGGAACUGAGACACGGUCCAGACUCCUACGGGAGGCAGCAGUGGGGAAUAUUGCACAAUGGGCGCAAGCCUGAUGCAGCCAUGCCGCGUGUGUGAAGAAGGCCUUCGGGUUGUAAAGCACUUUCAGCGGGGAGGAAGGCGUUAAGGUUAAUAACCUUGGCGAUUGACGUUACCCGCAGAAGAAGCACCGGCUAACUCCGUGCCAGCAGCCGCGGUAAUACGGAGGGUGCAAGCGUUAAUCGGAAUUACUGGGCGUAAAGCGCACGCAGGCGGUCUGUCAAGUCGGAUGUGAAAUCCCCGGGCUCAACCUGGGAACUGCAUUCGAAACUGGCAGGCUAGAGUCUUGUAGAGGGGGGUAGAAUUCCAGGUGUAGCGGUGAAAUGCGUAGAGAUCUGGAGGAAUACCGGUGGCGAAGGCGGCCCCCUGGGCAAAGACUGACGCUCAGGUGCGAAAGCGUGGGGAGCAAACAGGAUUAGAUACCCUGGUAGUCCACGCCGUAAACGAUGUCGAUUUGGAGGUUGUGCCCUUGAGGCGUGGCUUCCGGAGCUAACGCGUUAAAUCGACCGCCUGGGGAGUACGGCCGCAAGGUUAAAACUCAAAUGAAUUGACGGGGGCCCGCACAAGCGGUGGAGCAUGUGGUUUAAUUCGAUGCAACGCGAAGAACCUUACCUGGUCUUGACAUCCACAGAACUUUCCAGAGAUGGAUUGGUGCCUUCGGGAACUGUGAGACAGGUGCUGCAUGGCUGUCGUCAGCUCGUGUUGUGAAAUGUUGGGUUAAGUCCCGCAACGAGCGCAACCCUUAUCCUUUGUUGCCAGCGGUCCGGCCGGGAACUCAAAGGAGACUGCCAGUGAUAAACUGGAGGAAGGUGGGGAUGACGUCAAGUCAUCAUGGCCCUUACGACCAGGGCUACACACGUGCUACAAUGGCAUAUACAAAGAGAAGCGACCUCGCGAGAGCAAGCGGACCUCAUAAAGUAUGUCGUAGUCCGGAUUGGAGUCUGCAACUCGACUCCAUGAAGUCGGAAUCGCUAGUAAUCGUAGAUCAGAAUGCUACGGUGAAUACGUUCCCGGGCCUUGUACACACCGCCCGUCACACCAUGGGAGUGGGUUGCAAAAGAAGUAGGUAGCUUAACCUUCGGGAGGGCGCUUACCACUUUGUGAUUCAUGACUGGGGUG